UCGAACGAGAAAGUGGAGCAAUCCAUGAGUACAGUGGCGUACGGGUGAGUAACACGCUGGGUAAUCUACCUUUUAGUGUGGAAUAACCCUGGGAAACCGGGGCUAAUACCGCAUAAGCUCGAGAGAGGAAAGUCGCAAGACGCUGAAAGAGGAGCCCGCGGCCGAUUAGCUAGUUGGCAGGGUAAGAGCCUACCAAGGCAGAGAUCGGUAGCCGGCCUGAGAGGGCACACGGCCACACUGGCACUGAAACACGGGCCAGACUCCUACGGGAGGCAGCAGUGGGGAAUCUUGCACAAUGGGGGCAACCCUGAUGCAGCGACGCCGCGUGAGCGAUGAAGCCCUUCGGGGUGUAAAGCUCUUUCGGCAGGGAAGAUAAUGACGGUACCUGCAGAAGCAGCUGCGGCUAACUACGUGCCAGCAGCCGCGGUAAUACGUAGGCAGCGAGCGUUGUUCGGAGUUACUGGGCGUAAAGGGUGUGUAGGCGGUUGUUUGAGUUUGGUGUGAAAUCUACCGGCUCAACUGGGAGGGUGCGCCGAAUACUGAAUGACUAGAGUGCGGGAGAGGAAAGUGGAAUUCCUGGUGUAGCGGUGAAAUGCGUAGAUAUCAGGAGGAACACCGGUGGUGUAGACGGCUUUCUGGACCGUAACUGACGCUGAAACACGAAAGCGUGGGUAGCAAACAGGAUUAGAUACCCUGGUAGUCCACGCCCUAAACGAUGCAUAUUUGGUGUGGGCAGUUCAU
rnacentral:rRNA from 1 species